rnacentral:rRNA from 1 species
UGGGGAACCUGGUACUAAACCAUUCCUAGAUGACCUGCUUCUGGGUUGGGGUUUCAGACGUAGCAGAACAGCUCCCUCCCUCGCUGCCAUCUAUUGAAAGUCAGCCCUCAACACAAAGGUUU